GAGUUUGAUCCUGGCUCAGGAUGAACGCUGGCUGUGUGCCUAAUACAUGCAUGUCGAACGAAGCACUUGUGCUUAGUGGCAAAUGGGUGAGUAACACGUACUUAAUCUACCUUUGAGAUUGGAAUAACAUUUGGAAACAACUGCUAAUACCAAAUAUGUAAUCAUUUCGCAUGAAUUGAUUAUAAAAGAAGCGUUUGCUUCGCUUAAAGAUGAGAGUGCGUUACAUUAGAUAGUUGGUAAGGUAAUGGCUUACCAAGUCAAUGAUGUAUAGCGGGUCGAGAGGCUGAACCGCCACACUGGGACUGAGAUACGGCCCAGACUCCUACGGGAGGCAGCAGUAGGGAAUAUUCCACAAUGAACGAAAGUUUGAUGGAGCGACACAGUGUGCAGGAUGAC
rnacentral:rRNA from 1 species